AUUGAACGCUGGCGGCAUGCCUUACACAUGCAAGUCGAACGGCAGCACGGGAGCAAUCCUGGUGGCGAGUGGCGAACGGGUGAGUAAUAUAUCGGAACGUGCCCAGUCGUGGGGAUAACGUAGCGAAAGUUACGCUAAUACCGCAUACGAUCUAAGGAUGAAAGCGGGGGAUCGCAAGACCUCGCGCGAUUGGAGCGGCCGAUAUCAGAUUAGGUAGUUGGUGGGGUAAAGGCUCACCAAGCCAACGAUCUGUAGCUGGUCUGAGAGGACGACCAGCCACACUGGAACUGAGACACGGCCCAGACUCCUACGGGAGGCAGCAGUGGGGAAUUUUGGACAAUGGGCGCAAGCCUGAUCCAGCAAUGCCGCGUGCAGGAUG
rnacentral:rRNA from 1 species